rnacentral:rRNA from 1 species
CCUACGGGUGGCAGCAGUGAGGAAUAUUGGUCAAUGGACGAGAGUCUGAACCAGCCAAGUAGCGUGAAGGAUGACUGCCCUCUGGGUUGUAAACUUCUUUUAUCUGGGAAUAAAAUGUUCCACGUGUGGGAUUUUGUAUGUACCAUAUUAAUAAGGAUCGGCUAACUCCGUGCCAGCAGCCGCGGUAAUACGGAGGAUCCGAGCGUUAUCCGGAUUUAUUGGGUUUAAAGGGAGCGUAGGUGGAUUGUUAAGUCAGUUGUGAAAGUUUGCGGCUCAACCGGAAAAGUGCAGUUGAAACUGGCAGUCUUGAGUACAGUAGAGGUGGGCGGAAUUCGUGGUGUAGCGGUGAAAUGCUUAGAUAUCACGAAGAACCCCGAUUGCGAAGGCAGCUUACUGGACUGCAACUGACACUGAGGCUCGAAAGUGUGGGUAUCAAACAGGAUUAGAUACCCUUGUAGUC